rnacentral:rRNA from 1 species
GUAGGUGGCAAGCGUUGUCCGGAAUUAUUGGGCGUAAAGCGCGCGCAGGCGGUUUCUUUUAAGUCUGAUGUGAAAGCCCACGGGCUCAACCGGUGGAGGGGUCAUUGGAAACUGGAGAACUUGAGUACAGAAGAGGAAAGCGGAAUUCCACGUGUAGCGGUGAAAUGCGUAGAGAUGUGGAGGAACACCAGUGGCGAAGGCGGCUCUCUGGUCUGUAACUGACGCUGAGGCGCGAAAGCGUGGGGAGCAAACAGGAUUAGAUACCCUGGUAGUCCACGCCGUAAACGAUGAGUGCUAAGUGUUAGGGGGUUUCCGCCCCUUAGUGCUGCAGCUAACGCAUUAAGCACUCCGCCUGGGGAGUACGGCCGCAAAGGCUG